AAUGAACGCUGGCGGCGUGCUUAACACAUGCAAGUUCGAACGAUGAAACCUUAGCUUGCUAAGGUGGAUUAGUGGCGCACGGGUGAGUAAUAUAUAGAUAACGUGCCUCCGAGACUGGGAUAGCCAUUGGAAACGAUGAUUAAUACUAGAUACUCCUUCUAACUAUAAAGUUAGUCGGGAAAGUUUUUCGCUCGGAGAUCGGUCUAUAUCCCAUCAGUUAGUUGGUAGUGUAAGAGACUACCAAGACAAUGACGGGUAGCGGGUUUGAGAGGAUGAUCCGCCACACUGGUACUGAGACACGGACCAGACUCCUACGGGAGGCAGCAGUGAGGAAUAUUGCACAAUGGGGGGAACCCUGAUGCAGCAACGCCGCGUGGAGGAUGACGCAUUUCGGUGUGUAAACUCCUUUUAUAUGUCAAGAAGAUGACGGUAGCAUAUGAAUAAGCACCGGCUAACUCCGUGCCAGCAGCCGCGGUAAUACGGAGGGUGCAAGCGUUAUUCGGAAUCACUGGGCGUAAAGGACACGUAGGCGGGAGGCCAAGUCUGAUGUGAAAUCCUAUGGCUUAACCAUAGAAACAGCCAUU
rnacentral:rRNA from 1 species